CCUUUCACCCCACUUGAUUCCUGUGUGCCUAUAUGAAGGUGGUCUCUACCGAAGAAAAGGCAUCGCGCACAACCCCUCUUCUGCCUCGCUUCCGCGACCACCUACAGUCGCCUUUACACCUUUGGCACGCAGUCGCUUGCUGCCUUGCACCUUUGCAGGGGGCCUUCAAACGCACUUCUGUUCUCAUUGAUCUCUCUGUUGGGGUCUUGUCUCUGCUCUAGGAGGAGGGGGAGGGUGAGAGUAGCACCCGCAGAUGCUGGGUAGUGGAGUUGACAGCCCUUUUGCUGCAUUCGACAGGGCAUCAGGACGCUGUGGACAAGGCUACUGUUGGAAUGAAGGGUAGAUAUUUUACGGAAUGCGCUGCUGCUGCGGCUGGCCGCUGCCUAGGUGUGUUGCCUCGCUCCAGUAACGGGCGUGCGAGCCGACCAAACUGCAGGGCUUCUCUUCUGAUUACAGAAAGCCUUGCCGCCGCACGGCAUUUCAGUAGUACUAGCGUCACCGACACCAGCACCGCUGCUACCCCACGAGCCCCGCAAGCGAAGAAAGCAACUGAAUCCAGUCCCAAAGGGUCCACUUCCAGCGGUGAGUUGCCGCCCAUCAUUGAUACUCCCGCGCCACCACGGCCUGCGCUCUAUGUCCCGCCUGAGGAGCGCGACCCGAGCGAUGAAUCACUCGCUUUUCUCAAACCGGGUAGCCCACUACAACAUCUGACGCGCCGCAGCGAGGAGGUACAGCUCCCGGAAGGCCUUGAUCGGGCUCCGUCGAUUGCCGAGCGCCAACGGGCCGCCCCCAUCUACAUGGAUGCUGAUGCUGCGAGAGUGCGCAGCACAAGCGUGCACGCUGGGCAUUCUCUUCUUCAAUGUUCUGGGAUCGACACGAGCGCGUACUACUACAGCGCUCCACAGGCACCGCCUGCUGCAGAAGGGGAUGUGUCUGCGGUUGGCGCACUGGAUGCAUCGCACCGUAGUCGCCUGCGCACCCUCCGAGAGCACGCUCCUCGCCGGGGAUCGGAGUCAACACCGCUCGGCGCCGACCCCACGGCUGGCGUCUUGAGCGGUGGUGGUGUUGGUGCAGGCAGUAGCUGUAGCACCGCAAAGGAGCGAAGCAUGUUCGCAGCGUCGCACGAGUUUGCUGCCGUAGAGAAGACACCAGAGGAACUGGAAGACGAGAGGCAGCGGGCGGCCCCGAAACCCACCGCCAAGCAGCUGGAGACGGACAUCAAGAGGCUUGAGUACUACCAGGGCACCCCGCAGUACGAUAAACUUUUCGCAGACUUCUGUUCCAAGUACAGCGCAGAGGGGACUGCGACGAAGGGCGUCAAAGGGCCCGUUUACACGGCGGAAGAGGUGGAGCGCGGCUUGGAGGGGCAGCCAAUCGAUUACCACCACAGUAGCACCAAGUUGCAGGCGGCACUGUUCUCUGGACCGCGUGCCUACGACCCUGUCACGUUCAUGCAACAGCAAGGCGUCUUGCGCUUCCAGGGCUAUGCGUUUCCGCCUACGGUGGAGCUCGGGAAAUUGAAGGGAGACGGUGAUGAGCUGAAGGCGCUGCACAACGCGCACAAGAGCCACCCUCUUGUUGCACAGGUGCGGCGCGGAAUGAAUGCGCUGGUUGGGCGCAAGGAUGCGUGUGAUGACUACGUGGCGAUGGAGGACAAAUCGAAGGAGGACACCCAUCUGCUGUACCGCACCUUGGGCCUCGAGGCGGUGCAGCGGCGGCAGAUGCGCUACAUGCUGACUGAUUUCGAUUACGCAGACAGAAACACCGCGUUUCAUGUCAUGAUGUCGUACCCGUACACGGACUGGCUCCACGUGUUUUACAUGGUGCUGGUAGGCUGGUGCUUGUAUCAGCUGCAGGUUCGGUGCGGCGCCUACGAGUUCUACGACGAGUAUCUGGGGCUUGACCUCCGUCAAGUGCCGCGGCUGCAGAAGCCGAUCCUGGCCGGCAUCACCAUUGUCGUCAUGACCUUCUUCUUUUUCCAGCCUCUCUUGGUCGCCAGCAUUGCGACAACAAGAGCGUACCGGAUUGCAAUGAAACGCCCCAUCGGCCCUCCGUAGGGCGGCUUCCUUCGAAUUGACGUUCUUACCUCUGUGUGUCUGUGCGUGAUGAGGAGGCGUCAGAUCGAAGAGAUGGUACUCGGCGCACGCGUACUUACGUGCUUCGCUUUUCGUAUCACCUCGCGUUUUACAGCGCGCGUGUUUCCGACGGAUUCACGACUUCGCGCCGCUGCUCGUGUUGGUCUAGAGCGAGACGGAGACCGACUUUUGUAUUUCGUUGGAAAAGUCGAACGCUAGGUGCCGAUGAAGAGGCGUUGGUUGUCGUUUUGAAGUUGCUUUCCAGACCCUCUUCAAAAAAAAAGGAAAUCAGGAACACAGACUCAAGACAAGGUGCGCCCUUGAUGAAGGGAAAAGGGUGCCGUGUGCCAUGCAGGCGCAGGGGAUGUGUAUUCCCUGUGUGAGCUACGCUGCUCCUCGACGGCACUCAAUACCAGUCUUCCACACACUAGAGAGUGAACCCUCAGGGCACUCAAACCCUCUCCGCCCAUUUGGGAAUGGAAACUGAAGAGUCCUAUUUCCACUGCUGGUUUCGGUUUGCUGCGAUUGGUGCUGGCUUGUUUUUCUUUCUCAUCUCUUCUCAUAUCCUUUUCCUUGCACGUUUCUCUCCCCGUAAUGACCAUUAUACGGCGCUUCGCUCUCUCUCCUCUACUUGGCUGCUGCUUCACAUUUCUUCCCGCCUUUCACGUUGGCCACACAAACGCAG
rnacentral:misc_RNA from 1 species